GAUGAAAACGCAGCGAAAUGCGAUAAGUAGUGUGAAUUGCAGAAUUCAGUGAAUCAUCGAAUCUUUGAACGCACAUUGCGCCCCUUGGUAUUCCAUGGGGCAUGCCUGUUCGAGCGUCAUUUGUACCUUCAAGCUCUGCUUGGUGUUGGGUGUUUGUCUCGCCUCUGCGUGUAGACUCGCCUCAAAACAAUUGGCAGCCGGCGUAUUGAUUUCGGAGCGCAGUACAUCUCGCGCUUUGCACUCAUAACGACGACGUCCAAAAGUACAUUUUUACACUCUUGACCUCGGAUCAGGUAGGGAUACCCGCUGAACUUAAGCAUAUCAAUAAGCGGAGGA
rnacentral:misc_RNA from 1 species